CCUACGGGAGGCUGCAAUUAGGAAUAUUACACAAUGGGGGCAACCCUGAUGUAGCGACACAGCGUGGAGGAAGAAGGUUCUCGGAUCGUAAACUCCUUUUAUAUGGGACGAAUAGAUGACGGUACCAUAUGAAUACGUACCUGCUAACUACGUGCCAGAAGCAUCGGUGAUGCGUAGGGUACAAACGUUAUCAGGAUUUAUUGGGCGUAAAGAGAAGCGUAGGCGUUUUUGUAAGUCUGGAGUUAAAGACCACGGCUCAACCGUGGAAGAGCUUUCGAUACUGCAAGAAUUGAGACAGGAAUGGGCGAAUGGAAUUCCGAGUGGAGCGGUGAAAUGCGUUGAUAUUCGGAGGAACAUCAGUGGCGAAGGCGAUUCGCUGGUCCUUGUCUGACGCUAAGGCUCGAAAGCGUGGGUAGCAAAAC
rnacentral:rRNA from 1 species